GGCGUAGGCGGGGAUGCAAGUCAGAUGUGAAAGCCCGGGGCUCAACCCCGGAACGGCAUUUGAAACUGCAUUUCUAGAGGAUAGGCGGAGAAAACGGAAUUCCACAUGUAGCGGUGAAAUGCGUAGAUAUGUGGAAGAACACCGGUGGCGAAGGCGGUUUUCUAGCUUAGGCCUGACGCUGAGGCCCGAAAGCAAGGGGAGCAAACA
rnacentral:rRNA from 1 species